UACGUAGGGGGCAAGCGUUGUCCGGAUUUAUUGGGCGUAAAGAGCUCGUAGGCGGCUUCGUAAGUCGGAUGUGAAUCUCACGGCUUAACUGUGAGCGGCCAUUCGAUACUGCGAGGCUAGAGGUCGGGUAGGGGGGACAUGGAAUUCCUGGUGUAGCGGUGAAAAUGCGCAGAUAUCAGGAGGAACACCGGUGGCGAAGGCGGUUCUCUGGGCAUUACCUGACGCUGAGGAGCGAAAGUGUGGGGGAGCGAACAGG
rnacentral:rRNA from 1 species